AGCAGCCGCGGUAAUUCCAGCUCCAAUAGCGUAUAUUAAAGUUGUUGCAGUUAAAAAGCUCGUAGUUGAAUUUCGGGAUUGACGUGAUGGUCGUGCCUUAAGGGGUAUGAACUGUUGCAGUCAAUUUCUCACCUUCUGGAGAAAUAUGAUGUCCUUAAUUGGGUGUCAUAUGGAACCAGAACUUUUACCUUGAAAAAAUUAGAGUGUUUAAAGCAAGCUUAUUGCUCGAAUACAUUAGCAUGGAAUAAUAAAAUAGGACGGCAUGAUUCUAUUUUGUUGGUUUCUAGGAUCACCGUAAUGAUUAAUAGGGAUAGUUGGGGGCAUUAGUAUUCAAUUGUCAGAGGUGAAAUUCUUGGAUUUAUUGAAGACUAACUACUGCGAAAGCAUUUGCCAAGGAUGUUUUCAUUAAUCAAGAACGAAAGUUAGGGGAUCGAAGACGAUCAGAUACCGUCGUAGUCUUAACCAUAAACUAUGCCGACUAGGAAUCAGACGAUGUUAAUUUUUUAAUGACUCGUUUGGCACCUUACG
rnacentral:rRNA from 1 species